rnacentral:rRNA from 1 species
GACGAACGCUGGCGGCGUGCUUAACACAUGCAAGUCGAACGGAAAGGCCCUGCUUUUGUGGGGCUCUCGUGUGGCGAACGGGUGUGUAACACGUGAGUAACCUGCCCUUGACUGGGGUAUAACUUCAGGAAACUGUGUCAUAUUCGGGAUAGGAGUUCUUGCUGCAGGGUGGUGGUUGGAAAAGUUCGGGGGUGGGGGAUGGACUCGGGGUUUAUGCGCUUGGUGGUGGAGUAGUGGCUUACCAAGGUUGUGACGGGUAGACGGCCUGGGAGGGUGACCGGCCACAUUGGGACUGAGCUACGGAGAAGACUACUACGGGCGGCAGCAGUGGAGAAUAUUGCACAAUGGGCGGAAGCAUGCAGCGGCACCGCGGCGUGCGUGAUGACGGGCUUCGGGUUGUAAACCGCUUUCGACUGUGACGAAGCGUGAGUGACGGUAAUGGGUAAAGAAGCACCGGCUAACUACGUG